AACGCAUAUUGCGCCCAUUAGUAUUCUAGUGGGCAUGCCUGUUCGAGCGUCAUUUUACAACCCUCAAGUUUUUUAAUAGCUUGGUGUUGGAGCUUCUGUUACACCUUGUGCUACAGGCUCUGAAGGACAUUGGCAAGCUUAUUGUAAAAUCCGAGCGUAGUAGAUUAUUCUUUUUCGCUAAGGAUAAACAAAAAGUAUUAGCCGUAAAAUAAAAUUUUUUGAAAGUUGACCUCGGAUCAGGUAGGAAUACCCGCUGAACUUAA
rnacentral:misc_RNA from 1 species